UGGGGAAUAUUGCACAAUGGGGGGAACCCUGAUGCAGCCAUGCCGCGUGAAUGACGAAGGCCUUCAGGUUGUAAAGUUCUUUCGGUGACGAGGAAGGUUGGUAGGUUAAUAGCCUAUCAAAUUGACGUUAAUCACAGAAGAAGCACCGGCUAACUCCGUGCCAGCAGCCGCGGUAAUACGGGGGGUGCGAGCGUUAAUCGGAAUAACUGGGCGUAAAGGGCACGCAGGCGGUGACUUAAGUGAGAUGUGAAAGCCCCGAGCUUAACUUGGGAAUUGCAUUUCAUACUGGGUCGCUAGAGUACUUUAGGGAGGGGUAGAAUUCCACGUGUAGCGGUGAAAUGCGUAGAGAUGUGGAGGAAUACCGAAGGCGAAGGCAGCCCCUUGGGAAUGUACUGACGCUCAUGUGCGAAAGCGUGGGGAGCAAACAGGAUUAGAUACCCUGGUAGUCCACGCUGUAAACGAUGUCGAUUUGGGGAUUGGGCUUUGAGCUUGGUGCCCGUAGCUAACGUGAUAAAUCGACCGCCUGGGGAGUACGGCCGCAAGGUUA
rnacentral:rRNA from 1 species